UACGUAGGGGGCAAGCGUUGUCCGGAAUUAUUGGGCGUAAAGCGCGCGCAGGCGGCUUUGUAAGUUUGGUGUUUAAGCUCGGAGCUCAACUCCGAUACGCAUCGAAAACUGCAAGGCUUGAGUGCAGAAGAGGAAAGUGGAAUUCCACGUGUAGCGGUGAAAUGCGUAGAGAUGUGGAGGAACACCAGUGGCGAAGGCGACUUUCUGGGCUGUACCUGACACUGAUGCGCGACAGCAUGGGGGAGCAAACAGG
rnacentral:rRNA from 1 species